CACGUAGGGCGCAAGCGUUGUCCGGAAUUAUUGGGCGUAAAGAGCUCGUAGGUGGUUUGUUACGUCUGCUGUGAAAACCUAGGGCUUAACCCUGGGCUUGCAGUGGAUACGGGCAGACUAGAGGUAGGUAGGGGAGAAUGGAAUUCCUGGUGUAGCGGUGAAAUGCGCAGAUAUCGGGAAGAACACCCGUGGCGAAGGCGGCUCUCUGGGACGGUACUGACGCUGAGACGCGAAAGCGUGGGUAGCAAACAGG
rnacentral:rRNA from 1 species